UUUGAUUUCUUUCCUUUUAAGUCAUGAUUUAGUAGCAGACAAACCGGCUACUUUCUAGGAAUGUGUGUCGAGAAGUGAACGAUUUGCAGACAUGCGCAAAAUACUUUACAAUUUGUAUUCGAUUAGUAAAUCUAGCGUACGAUGAACGUGUAUGAGAAUAUUAGGUUUGCAACCCAAUUACAGGCCGGAACGGGAAGCUUCUAAUAAAAGAAUCGCCAAGCUAAUUUGCAGUCUAGCCAGUAGUGCUGCUUAUGCGCUCCAGAUAACGAUAGAAUUUUCUAGCGAAAAACAUGAAUAUCUCGCUUUCCCGUUGCGUGAAGUUACACCGCAGUACUUGAACUAGUUCCCGCUCGUUGGAGGAAAUCAAGGAGAAAGGGGGUUUAAACUAACUACUUGGUCUCAAAGAUUGAAAUCUCUACGAAUUGCACGCAAACUAAGUUGUACACUGCAGUGGUAGCAGAGAGAAAACCUUGGAGAUUUAGAUAAUCAAUUCUGCCGUCCGUUUGAUAAGGAGUAUUUUGGUGAUAGUUGACAGUAAUACAAGAUAACAAGCAAAGCGUUGGGGACAUUGGUCCACAGCAUGUCCUUAUCUUCACAAUACUCGAGUCUAUUUUAUGAGAAAUAUGGACCGACUAGGGGGUCAUAGUACUGAUGAGAGCAUUUUGAAGCUCAGUUGACUAUCCUGCUUUGUCAGUGCAGGCAAAACAAGACUGAACAGGUGUGAAGCGAGACUACACACACAAAAACACUUACAAAAUUUUGGUAUUUUUAUCAUUGCGCUGGAAUAAAUUCUACUUAUAUACAAAUUGAAAAUUUAUCAGGCGUCUCGGGCACCACAUUAUGAUUCAAGUUUUCAAAUUAAAAAUGAUAGAAUAAGAACAGUCUGUUUGCUUUAUAGUCAAAUAAAAAUAUUAUAAAAUCA